CACGUAGGGGGCAAGCGUUGUCCGGAUUUAUUGGGCGUAAAGGGCGCGUAGGCGGCGCAACAAGUCACUUGUGAAAUCUCCGGGCUUAACCCGGAGCGGCCAAGUGAUACUGUCGUGCUAGAGUGCGGAAGGGGCUACUGGAAUUCUCGGUGUAGCGGUGAAAUGCGUAGAUAUCAAGAGGAACACCUGCGGCGAAGGCGGGUUGCUGGGCUGAUACUGACGCUGAGGCGCGAAAGCUAGGGGAGCGAACGGG
rnacentral:rRNA from 1 species